CCUACGGGAGGCAGCAGUGAGGAAUCUUCGUCAAUGGACGCAAGUCUGAACCAGCCAUGCCGCGUGCAUGAAGACGGCUCUAUGAGUUGUAAACUGCUUUUGUACGAGGGUAAACGCAGAUACGCGUAUCUGUCUGAAAGUAUCGUACGAAUAAGGAUCGGCUAACUCCGUGCCAGUAGCCGCGGUAAUACGGAGGAUUCAAGCGUUAUCCGGAUUUGUUGGGUUUAAAGGGUGCGUAGGCGGUCGGAUAAGUUAGAGGUGAAAUCCCGAUGGUCAAAUUCGGAAUUGCCUCUGAUACUGUUCGGCUAGAGAGUAGGUGCGGUAGGCGGAAUGUAUGGUGUAGCGGUGAAAUGCUUAGAGAUAAUACAGAACACCGAUGGCGAAGGCAGCUUACCAAGCUACUUCUGACGUUGAGGCACGAAAGCGUGGGGAGCAAACAGGAUUAGAUACCCCAGUAGUC
rnacentral:rRNA from 1 species